rnacentral:lncRNA from 1 species
CAUUGAUUUAUGGGGUUUUUCAGACGUAUUGGAAAUUUUAUACGUACAUACAUUUUCUAGAAACAAACAUUGGUCUUGAUAGAAGGCUACAUUUAUGCUAGUAGAAAAUAUGGGAUUUUCUAGGAACAAACAAACAAAAACAAAACAUUUCAUUUCAUACAAACGUUGUCAUUUAAUACUUAUGAAACUCACCAGCUUAAAUGCUGAUCUACUCUUUCAAAACUACUUGUAUGUCCCAGGGAUUCACUAAUUACAGGUAACAAACAACUUUUGAAGAAGGGACGUUUCGGCGCCAGCUUAAAUUCAUAUUUUGGCAUCAUAUUGUAAUUGGUUUUGAACAUGUACCUUUUAACAAUGUAAACUUUCAAUUAUAUAUUACUUAUGAAACUCACCAGCUUAAAUGCUGAUCUACUCUUUCAAAACUACUUGUAUGUCCCAGGGAUUCACUAAUUACAGGUAACAAACAACUUUUGAAGAAGGGACGUUUCGGCGCCAGCUUAAAUUCAUAUUUUGGCAUCAUAUUGUAAUUGGUUUUGAACAUGUACCUUUUAACAAUGUAAACUUUCAAUUAUAUAUAUGAUGGUUGUAUUGCUUUCUUUACUAUAUAUUCAUUUGUUACGCUACCACAUGAAGUCAUCCGCUCCCGAACGUUUCCGUCGUUCCGGUUUGGGGGUGUGACAUAAGUGUUCUAGGAAGAGAGAUAGCCGAUUUUGGAGUUUCUAGCCUCUCUCUCAAAGUACUCCUUUGUUCAUGGUGUUUGUGAACCAUUUGAGGCAUCACACUUGAGGUGCUAAGCUCUUGAAAGGCUAACAACUACAAGCUACAAAAAGAGGUUUUAUUCUAGCUAGUUUUAUGAUUCAUGUACCAAAAUUGUAUGCUAGUUGUAGGCUUCAUGCAUUGGAAUUUUUUUUUGCAUGUAUAACUAGAGAAAACUUAGAUCCAAAGAAUACACUCCAAUUUUGGUCACAGGCAAUGAUCUUCUGUUCCCCAUGAUUAGAUUGACUCUUCCUUGCUCCACAUCCCUACUUCUUCUUAGUCCCUGCACAUUAGAACAAAUGUGGUAACCACAACCGGUAUCAAGAACCCAAGAAAUAACAUGAUUAGAAUAGUUAGAUUUGAUUGUGUAUAUACCUGCGAAAGAUGGCUUGAUCUUUCCUUCUUUGAUUGCUUGCAGGUACUCUGGGCAGCUUCUCUUCCAAUGUCCUAUCUUAUGGCAGUGGUGGCAUUUUGCCUCCUUCGGGUUAGGACAGGGCUUAGCGGGAUCAACUUUGGUCCCACUAGAAGAGGCACCAUCUCGGGUUUUGACCUUGCGAUAGUUCUUUGAUGAAGCCUUCCUCUUCUUUCCCUUUCCUUGACCAAUAGCCAAGACAGGAGCAGCAGUCGGAUUGGGAGCAGGUGUAGCAGACUUGUCUUUGAAGUUGCUCUCAGCAACCCUCAAGAGACCUUGGAGCUUGCUUAGGGUGACCUCUUCUUUGUUCAUGUGGUAGGUCAUCCUAAAUUGGUUGUACAUCGGAGGCAAAGAGUGAAGCACCAUGUCGAUCGCCAAGUCUUCCUCAAAGUCAACAUUUAACUUGCGAAGGUGGUCGACAUACCUUUGCAUCUUUUGCAAGUGCACGGUAAGAGAUUCUCCAUGACCCAUCUUAGCGGAAAUCAUGUUGGUGAAAAUCUCAUAACGCUCUUGUCUCGCGUUUUGGUGGUACCUCUCCAAUAAGUCUUGGUGCAUCUCGUACGGGUACAUGUCCUCGUAGGACUUUUGGAAUUCGGAGUUCAUGGUAGCAAUCAUGAUGCAAUGUACCUUCGUUGCAUCUCGCUCAUGAGUUUCAAAGGCGGUGAUUUCGGCUGGAGUAGCGAUUUCGGUGUUGAUUUUCUCGAGCUUCUCAUCAAGGACAUACUCUUUGUCCUCAUAGCGAGCAAUGGUGCGAAUGUAUCUUAUCCAUUCGCUAAAGUUCGUUCCAUCGAAGGUGACCUUUUGGCAAAGGCUCAUCAACGUGAAAGAACUAGCAGCAGCGUUGUUUGCGUUCGACAUCUACAAAAAGAAAGGACAAAGAUAGAUUAGAAUAAGAAUCCCUAAUUAUCACCCAAUAAGAAAAUUAGGGCUAGGAUCCAACAAUAACAUUUACAUACUAGAAAAGGGAUGCCGUAAUCUAACAUGCAAAUAAAUUGAAGGUAAGUGAAUGACGAUUCACUAAUUCUCCAUCACAAAACUUAAACUAUUAGUCCUAAGUGUUUUGAAGAAUUCCUAGGUUCGGAUGAGAUUCAUUGAAACUAUUCAAUGGCAUGUUUAAAUCUCGAUAUGCCCCUCUUGUUUGUGACUGGGAUGCCGAGGAUCACAAAGCGGGUGUGAAUUACCAUGCAAAUUCACAUGGUGCCUUCAUUGUAACGAUCACCUAUUCGAUGUGCCGGUAAACCACACACGCUCCAUCGAACUAUGAUAAACAAUGAAUCACCCUUUGCCACCUUUGCUUAGAACCAAUUAGUGUGCCGGUAAACCACACACGCUCCACUAACUUCUUAGCAAGGUGCAAAGUGUAAUUUCAUGGGAUUGCAUCAAUUCACUUUUCCUAAAGUAACUAGGAUUGGGAAAUUUUAAAAAAAUGUGUAGUUACUUUAUAUUUCUUAUUAUACUUUUAAUGAGAGGAUGAGGUUGCCCUAUCCUACCCGUUCGGCUAACGACCCUCCACCAAUCAAGCAAGCGGUGGGUGUGAGUGUACACCCAUUAAGCGCCAUUUUAUAGGCCGCAACCUUAUACCCACCUUAUAGAUCGGCUUCGUGAAUGAGGCCUACUAACGGUAAGACUAGCAUUU